rnacentral:rRNA from 1 species
AUGGACCAGCGAGAAUCCCAGGCCGGGCACGAGCGUAGCGGCAAGCGCGAUCAGAUUUCCGGUGAUUUCAUCAGCACGCUCCCCGACGCCAUCCUCUGCACCAUCAUCUCGCUCCUCCCCGCAAAGGAUGGCGGCCGCACGCCGGCAAUCUCCCCCGGGUGGCACAAACUCUGGCGCUCCGCGCCUCUGAACCUCGAGGUCCGAUCCCCUGCCAACUCCCACUCCCCCUCCACUGUCCUUCCCUCUGCCGUGUCCGGGAUAAUUUCCAACCACGAUGGCCCCGCCCGCCGAUUCUCCAUCCGUUGCUUCCCCGAUGACCUGGACGCCGAUGCAGAGAGCUGGUUCCAUUCCCGAGCCCUCGCCAACAUCCAGGAGCUCGAAUUCACCUACAACAACUACAAGCGCUUCCCUGGAUAUAAUCAAGAGAAACUACUGCCACCAUCCGCGCUCUGCUCUCCCAGCCUCCUCGUUAUCAAAAUCAGCCAUUGUGAUUUCCCCCCCUCCAUGCCGACUAUGAAUUUCCCCCUCCUGAAGCAGCUCUCCUUGAUGUUCGUUUCCAUCUCGGGGGAUGUGUUUCACAGCUUGCUCUCUGCAUGCCGUGCCUUGGAGAGCUUAUACAUAGCUGAAAUUCGUGCUACGGGUUGCCUCCGUGUUAGCUCGCCAACUCUUACGAGUAUUGGCUUCCGUAAUAGCGAUGAUGAGGCCGAGCUGGUCAUCGAGGAUGCUCCUCACCUUGUAAGGGUACUGUUACCUUAUAUUCACCACUCUGAUGAUUGUGCUACUAUACGUAUAGUUAGGGCGCCUAGACUGGAGGUAUUGGGCCCUAUCUUACCCGUCGUCUCCAGGAUACUAGUAUCUCAGGGAAUAAGCCCACUCACCUCGGCAAACUCCAUGUGCACCGUGAAGGUUUUGUGUCUCAGGUCUUCUGGCUAUGAAUUGGACGGAGUUCGUAACGUCCUUAAGUGGUUCCCCUAUUUGGAAAAAUUAUACAUCGUUUUUGGCAGACACACAGAGGAGAAUAAGAAAAAUGAGCCUCAAUAUGACUCACCACAUCAAAUUGAAAAACUUCAUUCAGCUGAACUGAAAAACUUCACCAAAGUAACACAGCAGAUAAUGAUCUGA